rnacentral:tRNA from 1 species
GAGGGUAUAGCUCAGUGGUAGAGCACAUGCUUAGCACGCAUGAGGUCCUGGGUUCAAUCCCCAGUACCUCCU